rnacentral:rRNA from 1 species
AGCCGCGGUAAUACCAGCUCCAUUAGCGUAUAUUAAUGUUGUUGCAGUUAAAAAGCUCGUAGUUGGAUUUCUGACAUAAAGGGCCUGGCCCGGCGUCCUAAAAUGUGACGUUGUGUGCCGGUGGUUCAAUCUGGUUCGCUGGGUUUCUGGUGACCUUCGGUCGCCCGGUCUAGGUCUCUGGUCGCUCAUCGGUCAUCCUUGAUCAGAACCUCUCUACCAUUCAUUUGGCC